AGGGCGUAUGGUGGAUGCCUAGACACUUUAGAACGAUGAAGGACGUUGCAGGGUGCGAUAAGCCUCGGUUAGAUCCUAAGCAAUCUUUGAUCCGGGGAUGUCCGAAUGGGGGAACCCAUCUCGAGUAAUGUCGAGAUACUCUAUAGUAAAUACAUAGCUAUAGGGAGAAGACCUGGUGAAGUGAAACAUCUCAGUAGCCAGAGGAACAGAAAGAAACAAAAAAACUUCUUUUCUUUAUGUUCGCUCAUAGGACGAUUUUUCGUCAAAUGGGUGAACAGUUUGAGAAUUGAGGUUUCGAUUCCGUCAGUAGUGGCGAACGAAAGCGGAAGAGCCCAAACCUAUGUCGUGUUCUGUCAGGAAUGAAUUUGUCUUUUGACUUAUUUUGACUUGGCAGUUAAAGGACAGGCCGUUGCGAUAUAGGUGUUGUAGGAUACACUUCCAGUUACCUGUGAGACUGGGUAGAAAUUGAUUCUUGUAUAGUAGAAGACUUCUGGAAAGAAGUACCGUAGAGGGUGAUAGUCCCGUAUGCAAAAUACGUUUCAAUUUUUAUAGGUGUAUUCCUGAGUAUGGCUGGACACGUGAAACCCAGUCAGAAUCUGCCGCGACUAUGCGGUAAGGCUAAAUAUCUAAAGUGAUCGAUAGUGAACAAGUACCGUGAGGGAAAGGUGAAAAGCAGCCCGGAGAGGGCGAUGAAAUAGUAUCUGAAACCAUAUGCUUACAAUGAGUUGGAGUCCGUCUUCGGAUGGAUGACAGCGUUCCUAUUGAAGAAUGAGCCUACGAGUGUGCUGUCAGUUGCAAGCUUAAGGACUUUUGGUCCGGAGGCAUAGGGAAACCGAGUCUGAAUAGGGCGAUUAAGUAGCUGGCACACGACCCGAAACCGGGUGAGCAAUCCAUGACCAGGUUGAACCCUGUCGACAAGACAGGGGAAGGACCGAACCCACGCGCCGUGCAACACGCGGGGAUGAGUUGUGGAUAGCGGAGAAAUUCCAAUCGAACUCGGUAAUAGCUGGUUCUCCUCGAAAUAGCUUUAGGGCUAGCUGUAUGUGUUCCCCACGGGGGUAGAGCACUGGAUGAGGAGUGGGUCCUUCGGGAUACCCUCUUUAACCAAACUCCGAAUACCGUGGAUUUAUAGCAUGCAAGUUAGACUGCGGGGGCUAAGCUUCGUAGUCAAAAGGGAAACAGCCCAGAUCGCAAACUAAGGUCCCUAAAUCACCGCUAAGUGUAAAAGGUGGUGUAGAUUCUUUUACAACCAGGAGGUUGGCUUAGAAGCAGCCAUCCUUUAAAGAUAGCGUAAUAGCUCACUGGUCAAGAGUCUUCGCGCCGAAAAUGUACCGGGGCUAAGUGGUGUACCGAAGUUGCGAAUUUAUUUUUGAUUUAUCAUUAAUGAAUGGUAGAGGAGCAUUCCUAACUGCGUUGAAGUCGGACCCGUGAGGGCCGGUGGAGCGUUGGGAAGUGAGAAUGUAGGCACAAGUAGCAAAAAUCCCGAUGAGAAUUCGGGACGCCGAAAACCCAAGGUUUCCAGGGCAACGAGAAUCGUCCCUGGGUUAGUCGAUCCUAAGGUGAGGCCGAAAGGCGUAGCCGAUGGAAGAGCAGGUUAAUAUUCCUGCACUUGGUAAAGUUUGUAAUUCAGUGCGGAUUUUAAAGGUUUAUGCGUCCUAUUGGUAUGGGCGUGUCGCAAGACUGAGGUUGAGAUUUCGAUCAAGACCAAGAUAGGCUGGAGAAGUUCCUAGAAAAGCUGGAUUGCGUUAGGCUUUAUCAAAUCGUACCGCAAACCGACACAGGUGGGUAGGUCGAGAAGACCAAGGCGCACGAGAGAAACAUAGUUCAGGAACUCGGCAAAACAGCGGCCGUAACUUCGGGAUAAGGCCUGCCUCGGGUAACCGAGGCCGCAGCUAAAGACUCCAUGCGACUGUUUACCAAAAACACAGCUCUCUGCUAACUCGUAAGAGGAUGUAUAGGGGGCGAUGCCUGGCCAGUGUCAGAACGUUAAGGGGAGGGGUGAUCUACUUCGGUAGCGUAGCUCUGAUCUGAAGCGCUGAUGAACGCCGGCGGUAACUAUAACCGUCCUAAGGUAGCGAAAUUCCUUGUCGGGUGAGUUCCGACCCGCACGAAUGGCAUAACGGUGUGGAGACUGUCUUGACUAUGUACUCGGCGAAAAUGCAAGUGUCGUGAAGAUGCGACAUACCUGCAGCUAGACGAAAAGACCCCGUGAAGCUUUACUACAGUUUGACAUUGGUAUAUUGCUUCACAUGUUCAGCAUAGGUGGGAGCCUUCGGGCAUCAGUGAGAUACCACCCUUGUGCUGUAGUGUACCUAAUCGAUUGCCAGGAAUCGGGUGAUCGAGACAGUGUCUGAUGGGUAGUUUAACUGGGGCGGUUGCCUCCCAAAAUGUAACGGAGGCGUUUACAAAGGUUGGCUUGCCUGGGAUGGAAAUCCAGGUGGACGUGCAAACGCAUAAGCCAGCUUUACUGCAAGGGCUACCACCCGCGCAGUCACGAAAGUGGAAGUUAGUGAUCCGACCGUACGAUAUAG
rnacentral:rRNA from 1 species